ensembl:lncRNA
GGCUGGAGGACCGAGUUGGGGGGCUGGAGGACCGAGUUGGGGGGCUGGAGGACUCGGGUGGGGGGCUGGAGGACUGAGGUGGGGGGCUGGAGGACUGAGGUGGGGGGCUGGAGGACUUGGAAGUGGGGCUGGAGGACUGAGUUGGGGGGCUGGAGGACUGAGUUGGGGGGCUGGAGGACUUGGAUGUGGGGCUGGAGGACUGAGUUGUGGGGUUGGAGGACUUGGAAGUGGGGCUGGAGGACUGAGAUGUGGGGCUGGAGGACUGAGUUGUGGGGCUGGAGGACCAACUUUUGGGUCUGGAGGACCUUGCUAUGAGGCUGGAGGACCUAGUUGUGGGGCUGGAGGACCUCACUAUGGGACUGGAGGACUGAGUUGUGGGGCUGGAGGAC